AGCCAUGUAGUAAGCACAAAGCGAACUAUUCCUUCGCCUUUUACUAAAGAAUACCGUGUGCUUGCUACUACUUAAUAGUGGCAUACGCUUAUUUUUGGAGGGCUAAUCUUACUAGAUUAC